rfam:Fulmarus glacialis contig106137, whole genome shotgun sequence.
GCCUGGAUAGCUCAGCGGGGAGAGCAUCAGACUUUUAAUCUGAGGGUCCAGGGUUCAAG